rnacentral:tRNA from 1 species
GCCGAAAUAGCUCAGUUGGGAGAGCGUUAGACUGAAGAUCUAAAGGUUAGUGGUUCAAUCCUGGGUUUCGGCA